UGUUGCCCAGGCUGGAGUAUACGGUGCAAUCUUGGCUCACUGCAACCUCCGCCUCCCGGGUUCAAGCGAUUCUCCUGCCUCAGCCUCCCAAGUAGCUGGGAUUACAGGUGUGCACCACCAAGCCUGGCUAAUUUUUGUAUUUUUAGUAGAGACGGGGUUUCACCAUGUUGGCCAGGCUGAUCUCAAACUCCUAAUCUCAGGUGAUCUGCCCACCUUGGCCUCCCAAAGUGCUGGGAUUACAGGUGUG
rnacentral:lncRNA from 1 species